rnacentral:rRNA from 1 species
GAAUAUAAAUUAUUAUUAAUUUUAUUAUUUUUAUUUUUUAUAAAAGAAGUAAUUUAUUUUUUAUUAAUAUUUAAGAAAAAAUUUUUUUAAUUAUAGUUUAUUAGUAUUGUAAAAGAAAUAUUUAAUAUAAAUAAAAGAAAAAUUUAAUUUUUGUACCUUGUGUAUCAGGGUUAAUUUAAUUUAGUUUUUAAAUAAAAAUUUCUCGAAUUUAAAAGAGUUAAUUAUUUAUAAAUUUAAUUGUAAAAUAAAUUUUUAUAAUAAAUAAUUUGUAAUGAAACGUUAUUCGUUUUUAAAUAUAUCUAGUUUUUAAAGAAAAAAAUUUAAUUUUAUUAUUAAUAUUUAAAAAUUUAAUUUAUUAAUUUUUUAUUUAUUAGUAUUAAAUUUUAUUAGGGAUAAGCUUAAUAAAAAAAAAUUAUAAUUAAUUUUAAUAAUAAAUAAUUUAUAAAAUUAGAAUUUUUUAUAUAUAAGAAAAUGUUAUAAUUAAUUAUAUUUAUUUUUUAUUUUUAUUUGAUUUAAUUUUUUUAUUUAAAUUUAAAUUUUAAUUUUAAAUAUUUAGUAAUUAUGAUUAAAUUAGUAUAAAUUUUAUGUAUUAUAUUUUAUAGUUAUAAAGGUUAAUUUAAGGAAUUCGGCAAUAUUAUUUUUCACCUGUUUAUUAAAAACAUGUCUUUUUGAUUAUAAUUUAAAGUCUAAUCUGCCCACUGAUAAAUUAAAUGGCCGCGGUAUUUUGACCGUGCAAAGGUAGCAUAAUAAUUAGUUUUUUAAUUGAAAGCUGGAAUGAAUGAUUGAAUGAGAAAAUAACUGUCUCAAAUUAAUUUUUUAGAAUUUUAUAUUUAAGUUAAAAAGCUUAAAUUUUAUUAAAAGACGAGAAGACCCUAUAGAGUUUAAUAUAUAAUUUUAUUUAGAUUUUUAGUUUUAAAUAUUUAAAUUUUUAUUAUUUAUUUUGUUGGGGUGAUAGAAAAAUUUAUUUAACUUUUUUU